rnacentral:rRNA from 1 species
AUACGUAGGGUGCAAGCGUUAAUCGGAAUUACUGGGCGUAAAGCGUGCGCAGGCGGUUUUGUAAGACAGAGGUGAAAUCCCCGGGCUCAACCUGGGAACUGCCUUUGUGACUGCAAGGCUAGAGUACGGCAGAGGGGGAUGGAAUUCCGCGUGUAGCAGUGAAAUGCGUAGAUAUGCGGAGGAACACCGAUGGCGAAGGCAAGCCCCUGGGCCUGUACUGACGCUCAUGCACGAAAGCGUGGGGAGCAAACAGGAUUUGAUACCCUGGUAGUCCACGCCCUAAACGAUGUCAACUGGUUGUUGGGUCUUCAUUGACUCAGUAACGAAGCUAACGCGUGAAGUUGGCCGCCUGGGGAGUACGGUCGCAAGGUUGAAACUUAAAGGAAUUGACGGGG